rnacentral:rRNA from 1 species
ACGGGGUAGGAUCACGUAGGUGACGUACCCCCAGGGCGAGGAUAGCCACGGGAAACUGUGGGUAAUACUCGAUAAUCUUCUCAAUCAAAUGAGAAGCAAUGGGUGUGAUUCCACCUGGGGAGUGGCUUACGCAGUAUCAGCUAGUUGGUGAGGUAACGGCUCACCAAGGCUAUGACGCUUAGGGGGUGUGAGAGCAUGGCCCCCACCACUGGCACUGAGACACUGGCCAGACACCUACGGGUGGCUGCAGUCGAGAAUCUUCGGCAAUGGACGAAAGUCUGACCGAGCGACGCCGCGUGCGGGAUGAAGGUCUUCGGAUUGUAAACCGCUGUCGGAGGGGAUGAAGUAUACGAGAGCUAUCUCUUGUAUUUGACAGAGCCUCGGAGGAAGCACGGGCUAAGUUCGUGCCAGCAGCCGCGGUAAUACGAACUGUGCGAACGUUAUUCGGAAUCACUGGGCUUAAAGGGUGCGUAGGCGGUUUUCUAAGUCACGUGUGAAAUCUUCUGGCUCAACCAGAAAACUGCGCGUGAAACUAGUUAACUUGAGUGAGGUAGGGGUGUGUGGAACUUCCGGU